rfam:Gossypium raimondii Chr02_contig_1056, whole genome shotgun sequence.
AUCCCAUGAUGAGGACACUUACAAAGUAAUUCUUUGAAUCUCUCCCACAGCUCGUAGAAGGGCUCAUCAUUCAAUUGUUGAAAAGUGGUGAUCUCAUUUCACAACUU